rnacentral:tRNA from 1 species
GGUCUAAAGAAGUCACUUUUCCAAGCAGCUCCUCGUUAGUAUAGUGGUAAGUAUCCCCGCCUGUCACGCGGGAGACCGGGGUUCGAUUCCCCGACGGGGAGAAGCACAGAUUUUUUUUUUUACCCCUUGAUGUUAGUUCGCUUUCACACAAUUUAACAAAUAAUAUAAAUGCUAAAGAGUUGGACUAGAUGUCUUUAAAAAAGAAAAGAAAAGAAGAAUCCAGUUAAAAAGGCGGGAGAAGUCUAUGCUAUAUCCCAAAGAGGAAACUGAAUUGUGGUCUCUGACUUGACAGGCAGAGAUAGAAACCGCUAUUAUGCUGUUUUACUGUUCAUUUUCUUAAUAUUUUGAGCCACUUGGUGUAAAUUUUGUGGGGAAGUGGCAUAGAAUUGAUUCUAAUGAACGUUUAUGAGAAAACCCAACAAUCAAGGGUGUUUUAUGACUCAAGGGUCGGGUGUCCUGGCAUUGAUGCUUCUUAGUAAGAAAGAAUAACAAUGCGAAGCAUCAAAGUUAAAUGCUCCCUCAUUACUUCUUCUCCUUCCCUACCAGGAAUAAGUUUCCAAGACUCUUUUGAAGAUUUACUUCCUAGAAACCCCAAAUAACUGGAGGCUGUAACACAAGACCUGGAUUGCCGGGUGGAGCCUGCCUUCAUAAUGUUUCAUAACAAAAAAGCAACUAUUUAUUCCUCAGGAACAACAUCUACAUCCCUGGUUAUUGUGAGAGACAAACCAGCAAUUGCAGCAAACGCUCUUAAAAUUUUACCCCGCUUCUCGCCAAUUUCUAUUCAUUCUAUCUGCUAGCACUACAUCAAUCAACAGGUCUGUUUUGCUAUUUCUAUUUAAAAGUAACAUUGACCAAAAAAAGUGCUUAUAUUAUUUAUAGAAGCUGGCAUGGGGUAAGAAAGCAAAACUUCAACCCUAAUCCCAUUUACCAGUGAGUAAAGCGAGAUGGGGCGCAGGUGGUGCUGUGGGUUAAACCACAGAGCCUAGGACUUGCCGAUCAGAAGGUCAGCGGUUCAAAUCCCUGCGGCAGGGUGAGCUCCCAUUGCUUGGUCCCUGCUCCUGCCAACCUAGCAGUUCAAAAGCACGUCAAAGUGCAAGUAGAUAAAUAGGUACCGCUCCAGCGGGAAGGUAAAGGGCGUUUCCGUGUGCUGCUCUGGUUCGCCAGAAGCGGCUUAGUCAUGCUGGCCAGAUGCUGUACGCUAGCUCCCUCGGCCAAUAAAGCGAGAUGAGCGCCGCAACCCCAGAGUCGGUCACGACUGGACCAAAUGGUCAGGGUUCCCUUUACCUUUAAACCUUUUUUAGUUCAGUAGUGCUUAUUUCUGAGUCAACAUGAAUAGGAUUCACUGUGUCUGCUUGAACCUAUCCCAAGCUGUUGUACAGAAACCCUAAAUGUAACAUUUCUGUCUACGUGUCUGUGCUUUUUAAUCUCACUGCUCUGUGCACAAUCAGUUUAAGCCACUCAAAGGCAACUUAAACAUAUAUAAUUGUGAUGACACAUUGCAAAGAAUGAUCCAAUGCUAACACUGCAGUAAUAGUACCUGCUCCAGGGAGAGAACAGUUUGAGUUUCAACAUUGUUGUUGCGGUCAAAAGGGCUUGAGACAUAAAUACUUUAUUAUUAUCAGGGCCGGAUUUACGUUUGAUGAGGCCCUUUAUAUGUCCAGCUGUCCUUUGUCAACAACAAAUUGUCACUGUUUUUUGUGUUGAAUAUAUGCUAUAUGGUAAUUUAUGGACCUAAUAGGUAUCUAAAGCCAUUUGCCAUUGUUGCUGUAUGUAGGUUUUAUUUUAUUUGUUUUUUAUCUUAUAUUCUGGAAAUGUACAACUAGGUUUUUUUCCCUUUAAAUUUUUUUUGGGCCCCCAAGAGAGUGGGGCCCUCAGCAAUAGCUUGUUUAGCUUAUACGUAAACACGGCACUGAUUAUUAUUAUUAAAAAAACCAAUCAAGACUUCAUAUUUUUGUAAGUUUCAAAACAACACGCCAAACUAGCACAGACUGUUGAGGCAAGAAAGAUAGACACCUCAUGUGGAGUGCAAAGGAUUGAGAUGGUACAGAACUGCUAGGCACGUCUCCGCUCAGAUUAUUUUUCAUCGUGGAAAUUAGAGAAGCAAGCCGAGUCAGCAUCGGUCAAACACCUGCUGCUGGCAUGCCGAAAAAGGAGAGUAGAAAAGGAGAGUGGAGGCCCACUCCCGCAGAAAAGCAGCUAUCUAGUGACUGAGUGCUGCAUCUGCUUCUUAUGUUUGUGCCCUGCACAAUAGGCCACGGUAGGGCUGCACAGUCAUCAGAUAGGGGUUCUGGGCAGGCAGGAAGAGGCUCAGUCAUUCUUGCAGUGUAUGUUUUUAUUGGAAAACCCGCAAGUACAGUACUGUGCAUUUGCAGCAGUCUUCGCUCCCUCUAGUGGUACUCGGAGAUUCCUUCAGAGCUAAACAACAGCAGUGAAAAUGGACCAUUCUAAAGGGACAUUUUUGGCACGGCUGGUGCCACCACAAUAAACCUUAAAGCAAUGCAGCCCUUGUGUAACUGGAACUGGUUUCUGUUGUGUAGACUUGUAGAGUUGGAUGGGAUCCCAAGGGUCAUCUAGUCCAACCCCCUUGCAAUGCAGGAAUCUUGCCCACAGCCAUCCCUGGGUGGGCUUGAACCACCAACUUUGUGAUUAACUGCCAGGUGCACUGACGUAUUGCAUACCCUACAACAUUUAUCCAAUGAAAAUAGGGACAUCCUAUUCUAUAAUAAUUAUAAUAAUAAUGUUAUUAUUCAUAUGCCAUCCAUUAAACAUUUUUAAAAAUCCCUAUUCAAGGCUGCCUGCAGAUGUCUUCUAAAGGUUGUAUAGUUACUGAUCUCCUUGCUUCAGGGGUUGCAUAUCUCCAUACCCUCCAACAUUUCUUUGAUGGAAAUAGGGACAUCCUAAGGAAAAGUGGGACAUUCUGGGAUCAAAUCAGAAACCAAAAUGGCUUCUGUAAAUCUGGGACUGUCCCUGGAAAAUAGGGACACUUGCAGGGUCUGUUAUUUGCUCGUUGAAGCCCCUCCUAUUAGCAUUGACAGCAAGCCUGGGUGCCAACCUGAAUAAAAUAUUGUGGGGACCUAGCUAAACCCCACUCCACAUAAUCUAUCACAUGACACAGUGCACACACAACAUUUGAAUGGGAACACCCAUCAACUUGGGGGGGGUGGCCCCCUCAAAUAUUUUACUGUGGGGGCCGAAGCUCCCACGGCCCCUAGCACAUAUUGUAGCCCAACUUGAAAUAUAAAAAUAUUUGCUAGCUCCAAGAAACUUUGCUAUUAUUUUAUGCUUUGAAGUCUGUAGCAUCCUCUAACUAAGCUACCAUAUUAACUUCUUGUGGUUAUGAGAAAACUUAUUAAUAACAGACUGGCCUUAGGCAAAACAAUGCAGGGUAAUCUCUAUUUUUCAAGGGGUGUUUCAAAAGGACAUGGAGCUCUAGCUUGUCACAUUCAUUGUUUUGUUGUUGCUUUAAAACAUCAGUAGUAUUUUUACAACACAAUAGGUGCCUAAGAAAGAGGAUUUAGAGAUUCACUAUAAUAAAACACUGUCUGAAGAAAAUAAAACUGAAUCUUGUGAUGGCUUUAGAAAUUUCCAAACAUCUAACUGUGUAAUAAAUUGUGGUUGGCAAAGCUAUCCCCCCCCCAAUAGUGUAGGGGUAGUUUUAAAACAUCUGAUGUCUGAGGGGAUUUUUUGGGGAGGAGGUAUCUCAUGGCUUGUGGUGAGCUCAGGGGAAAGCUCUCAAGAUUCUUCAAAGUUAUGCUAGUAAAAUAAGCAAGAACCAUGAAGAUUCUUGUGGCAUGUUAAAGACUAUUAUGGCAUAAGCUUUCAUCAGAUGCAAGCUUAUUUCAUCAGGGGAAGAAGACUAUUCACAAAAGCUUAUGCCAUAGCGUAGCCACACUGCGCUUUUAAAGCACAUUUAAAACACACCUAGCUUCCCCCCAAGCAUCCUGGGAACCAUGGCUCAUUAAGGGUGCUGGGAACUGUAGCUCUGUGAGAGGUAAAUUACAGCUCCUAGGAUUCUAUGGGGGAAGGCAUGUUAUUUAAAUGUAUGGUGUGGACGCAUUCUUUAUUUUGUUGUGCCACAACACCCUUUCUUAAUUUUUCAGCAGCAGCAUGACUCCCCCUAUGGUUGUAGAGUAAAGCCCGUUUGGGGUGUUCCACUAACAUGUUAGACCUAUGUUGGAGCAGGCAAAGUGGGGAUGAGCUUGUUAAAUUCCACAAACACGCCUGCUUGUGGAGUGUGAAGGCCUGAGCUGAGCACUACUCAAGGAUUAAGCAGAGUCUAAAUUUCAUGGGAACUUCCACAGUUAGAAGGGACUCUCCACUUCAGACCUUCACUUUCCAUGAGUUGGAGGGGGGUGGGAAAAAGAGCUUAGCAUGCUUAUCCCUGCUCUCCCUGUUCAUAUGUAGGUUUUACACCCAAAUCAGGCUGACGUGUCAUAUAAAGGCAUGCAUUUUAUGGAGAAGUACUGAAGGUGGACUCUCCUUCAUUGGAGGCCUUUAAGCAGAGGUUGGAUGGCUAAUAUUCCUGCAUUGCUGUGGGUUGGGCCAGAUGACGCUUGGGGUCCCUUCCAAUUCUGCAGUUCUAUGAUUCUGUGAACAGGGAUGACUGAUAAGCUGUAUUGUUCAGUAGACAGUUGAAAGCAAACCCAAAUGUUCCUCUGCAUAAUGUGUGAAAUAGCUCUUAGGUGCCUCUGAUAGGACUUACAUUUAAUAAGAUUUUCUUCAUUACUUGGCAAAUGCAAACAGAAAUGGAAAAUGCUUUCAUAUGCACGUUGAAAGAUUAAAUUCAGCAUGAAAAUAAAUAUUAUUUGAGAAUUAGCUAUUAUUAAAUUCGUGUUUGUAUGGAUUAAUUAAAGCGCUUUUCACAAUAUCUAAGACGUGUGUGUUUGAAAAGAAGAAAUACUACACACAAUAGGAAUUUUACAGGUUCAUCAAACUCCUUUUGCCUUUUCCCUCGGCACCUUGAAAGAGUCCUAAGCAUGUCAGUCACAGAGAAGGGACUUGGCUCUCAGCCCGGCAAGUUUUUGUUCUGCCUCCAGCAGGUUUCUCUGACAGACGUGAUAGGGGAGGAAAGUGUUCCAAAUGCUCAAGUGCACUGCUGGGGGAUUCUGAGAUAGAAAUACAUUUUAAUGAAUCUUUCUUUCUUAGCCAACUUUGAAAAUGGCUGAACUAAACAGUCUCUCCCAUUCUUUCCCCAAUCAACCUGAUCGAAUAAAGGUGCUAAUAUAUUUAACUCCAGAAGGGGGAGCCAGCACCACAGCUAUGCGUUCUCUUCCAGACAAAAUGUCUACCUGCUGUUCUUCAAAAAGGUUAGGUGAAGUAAACAUCAUCACAAUUGCUGGGCUCAUACUAUAUCUAGGAUUGCUGCUUGCUGGCUGUGUCAUUAUCUCUUGAAAUAGACACUGUGGUUGAUGGUCCAGAUGACCUGUUUUUAAAUGGGAACAACAGGUUUGUGCAACAUCCAAAGUGAGAACAAAGCUAUAAGGCCAGCCCCCAGUUCUGCAUCUCUCUUUCUCUUCCAGGGAGAGUGUUUUUUCAGCAAGCUGAAGUGAAUAGCAUCACAUUCUUCCUUCCAUAGGGGAACCUCUUUAGGAAUUGGCAUUGUCACACCAUCGCCUGCUUGCCAACUCUCUUUUCAACACCUGGCAGCUUUUCUUGGGAGCAAAGGAAGCAGCUGUGCUUGUAAUAUUAUUUGGGGAAUUAAUGCAUGCGGAAGAAGCCAAAAAGAUUGGGCUGGAGAUGCACUUUACCUCUAAAGCUCUUUUGAGGGAAGAAUGGCAAAGGGACUGAUAAGCAAUCAAAUCACUGAAGUUUUUGAUGUUUUAAUUGUAUUCUUAGUUCUAACUCUUUGAUAAUAAUAAUACAAAAACCUAUGCAAAUUAAUUACCUG